rnacentral:lncRNA from 1 species
UACCGGCUGCUGUGGAUCCGGUAUCCAUUGUUUGGAUUCCGCAACGGAAGCGUCGAAUCGGGUUUUUACCAUAAACCCGUCUCCUCAGCAAAAGCUGAUACAAUCAUAAAAGAGAGAAAAAAUCAAAACAGAAAAUAUGCAGGUAAAAUAAGAUUCAUUAAAUAAGAGAAGAUUAUACCUGACUCCUCUUCUGCAACAGAGUAGCUACAACCCUAGCCCUCUUUUUUGAAUCUCUCCUACCUUUCUCUCGUCUUCUAUGAACCCACAAAGAAGACCUCUUCGCGUGCACCCGUGCAUAAGGUGCACUAAAAUAACUCUCUCUCUCUUUUUCUCUCUAUGGUACGGCACCCAAGCUUCAGCCGUACUGCCCUCAAAAAAGAGAGUCACAAUGACUAUUUAUAAUGCUCAACUUAAAACGUACCCCAAUCUUAAUAUAUUUAAGAUUCAUACUUUAAUUAAUAUCUAAAUCUAUCUUAAUCAAUCUCUAAUAGAUUUAAAUAUUAAUCCUAAUCUAGUUAGGUUUAUCCUCUAAUUAAUAUUUAAAUCUUAAUUUAUCUCAAACAGAUUUAAAUAUUAAUUCUUAUCCAAAUAAGAUUUAACUACAAAUCUAACCAAAUCCUAACAUUCUCUACCUUGGUUUGAUUUGAAAUUUUCAACCGCUACGUCAAGCUCACCAUGCAAGCUCCACCUUGAGCUUGUCUCCUCCGCUCGAUGUCGCCGCAUCCGUCGCUCUGUCUCGAGCAACUGCACAUCCGCGAACUUUUAGAACCCAAACUGUCUUCGCUCCCGUUCUGACUGUGCUCCCGUUCAGAACGUAUAAGUUCCCACGCUUGUUCGCCUCGCAUACGACCCGAUCUCAUUUUCGGACCCUCAUAGCUCCACCUGAAGCUGAAAUAUCGCAACCCUUCGAGUCCAAUGCGCCUAACGAGAUCAAAUUCCGCUUCAAUCCAGGAACGUGCCGCACACCUGUCAGCGUCCUCACGACCCCAUCGUGCAUUCGGAUUUUCACCAUGCCGACUCCCAAUACUUUGCACGCUGUCCCGUUCCCCAUCAGCGCCUUUCCACCUUUGAUCGCCUUAUAGGUGGCAAAAGACUCCUUCUCCGGGCAUACGUGAAAAGAACACGCCGAAUCGAGCACCCACGCAUCGUCCGAAAUUUUCGCACCUCCGGUCGCCGCAUACAGCACAUCAGAAUCGAUCAUCUCCGACUCUGCUGUCUGCGCCGUCGCUGAUACCGUCUCGUCCUGGUUCACGACAGUUUGCUCCUUCUGUCGCUUUAACUCCUUCAGAUCAUCCUGAAGUUUUCGACAAUUGCGCUUGAUAUGCCCCUUCCUGUGACAGUAAAAGCAUUCUACCUCAGAUAGCGGUUUCUUCUGUCGAUAUCCGGUCGCCGAUAUUCUCGCCUCCUUCUUCGCAGUCACCACCAGUCCUACAUCCUGACUUUGCGUGCCGGACUCCUGAGUCAUCUUCCGCAUCUCGUUCGAGAGAAGCGCCGCCGUGACCGCCUCCACGCUUAUGGACUCCUUGCCAUAAAGCAACGUGGUCACCAGAUGCUCAUAUGUCGUCGGUAGCGAAGAUAGUAGGAUCAACGCCUUGUCUUCGUCAUCCAGAUUGACUCCGAUGCUGGUCAACUGGGCCACCACCUUGUUGAACUCAUUUAGAUGAUCAUGUAGGCUCGCCGCUUCUUGCAUCCGCAACGUAAACAGUCGCUGCUUCAGAUACAAUCUGUUCGUCAGGGAUUUGGUCAUGUACAGAUCUUCCAAUUUCUUCCACAAUUUCGCCGGUGUCGUCUCGCCGGCUACAUUGUAAAGAACCUCAUCUGCUAAUGAUAGAUGAAGCGUACUCAGCGCCUUCCGCUCCAUCUUCGUCCAUGCCGCAUCCGUGACCUCCGCCGGCUUUGCCUCCUUCCCGUUCAACGUCUCGUCUAACUCUUGCUGUACGAGGAUUGCUCGUACUUUAAUUUGCCAUAAUCCGAAAUUGUUCUUGCCGUCGAACUUCUCGAUUUCGAAUUUCGUGGCCAUCUCCGUCGAUCUCUCCCGCAGAUCGGUAACCUUCGGCUCUGAUACCACUUGUUGGGAAUCCGGUACUCGCCCCGGUACCGGAUCUCGUGAAUCCGCAACCCGCUCCGAUACCGACUGCUGUGGAUCCGGUAUCGAUUGUUUGGAUUCCGCAACGGAAGCGUCGAAUCGGGUUUUUACCAUAAACCCGUCUCCUCAGCAAAAGCUGAUACAAUCAUAAAAGAGAAAAAUAUGCAGGUAAAAUAAGAUUCAUUAAAUAAGAGAAGAUUACACCUGACUCCUCUUCUGCAACAGAGUAGCUACAACCCUAGCCCUCUUUUUGAAUCUCUCCUACCUUUCUCUCGUCUUCUAUGAACCCACAAAAAAGACCUCUCCGCGUGCACCCGUGCACAAGGUGCAAUAAAAUAACUCUCUCUCUCUUUUUCUCUCUAUGGUACGGCACCCAAGCUUCAGCCGUACUGCCCUCAAAAAAGAGAGUCACAAUGACUAUUUAUAAUGCUCAACUUAAAACGUACCCCAAUCCUAAUAUAUUUAGGAUUCAUACUUUAAUUAAUAUCUAAAUCUAUCUUAAUCAAUCUCUAAUAGAUUUAAAUAUUAAUCCUAAUCUAGUUAGGUUUAUCCUCUAAU